GGUACAUCGGAGCACCACCAGAUUCAGAAGGUGAAGGGGCAGGAGCAAACAUCAAGUCGGGGCCUAGUGAUGUAGGUGGGGCAACAAGUGGAGGAAAUUGUUGAGGUCCAGGGCAUCGAGGUUGAAGCGAUGUGGAUAAUGUAGUGAUGAUGGUUCCAUUAACAAGGCCACCGUAAUUGCAAGAAGUCACAUUGCAACCACCACCAGUCUGUUGUAUGGUAACAUUUCCG
rnacentral:misc_RNA from 1 species